UGAGCGGGAUUCGCUGAGGUCUGAAUGCAUAUGUGGUUAGAAUCCAGCUAGCUCGGGGAUCAUGACGUCAGACUUCCUCAUGAUGUUCAUUCACCGGCAGAGCCUUCAGC